rnacentral:rRNA from 1 species
CAGCCGCCACGGUAAUACGUAGGGUGCAAGCGUUAAUCGGAAUUACUGGGCGUAAAGCGUGCGCAGGCGGUUCUAUAAGACAGAUGUGAAAUCCCCGGGCUCAACCUGGGAACUGCAUUUGUGACUGUAGAGCUGGAGUGCGGCAGAGGGGGAUGGAAUUCCGCGUGUAGCAGUGAAAUGCGUAGAUAUGCGGAGGAACACCGAUGGCGAAGGCAAUCCCCCGGGCCUGCACUGACGCUCAUGCACGAAAGCGUGGGGAGCAAACAGGAUUAGAUACCCGGGUAGUCCCUGUCUCUUAUAC